GUUCUCGCUUCGGCAGUGCAUAUAUGAAAACUGGAGCGCUACAGAGAAGAUGAGCAUGGGUGGCCCCUGCACAAGGAUGACACCCAAAUUCGUGAAGCGUUCCAUAUUUAA